rnacentral:rRNA from 1 species
CCUAACACAUGCAAGUCAAGGAGAACGUUUUCUUCGGAAAACAAGUAAACUGGCGAACGGGUUAGUAACGCGUAGGCAACCUGCCCUUUAGAUUGGGACAACCCUGUGAAAACGGGGCUAAUACCGAAUAAUAUUUGUUAUCUCUGGAUAACAAAUCAAAGUAGGCUUCGGCUUAUACUAUUGGAUGGGCCUGCGUCUGAUUAGCUAGUUGGUAGUGUAAUGGACUACCAAGGCAACGAUCAGUAGGUGGUUUGAGAGGAUGAUCACCAACACUGGGACUGAGAUACGGCCCAGACUCCUACGGGAGGCAGCAGUGAGGAAUUUUGCGCAAUGAGCGAAAGCUUGACGCAGCAACGCCGCGUGAUUGAAGAAGAUCUGAGGAUUGUAAAAAUCUGUUAUAAGGGAAGAACAGCAUAUAUUCUAACAAAGUAUAUGUUUGACGGUACCUUAUUAGAAAGCCCCGGCUAACUUCGUGCCAGCAGCCGCGGUAAUACGAGGGGGGCAAGCGUUGUCCGGAUUAAUUGGGCGUAAAGAGUUCGUAGGCGGAUUAGUAAGUCGAUAUUGAAAUACAAUGGCUUAACCAUUGACACAGUAUGGAUACUGCUAAUCUUGAAUUAUGUAGAGGUAAGUGGAAUUUCUGGUGUAGCGGUGAAAUGCGUAGAU